UACGGAGGGUCCAAGCGUUAUCCGGAAUCAUUGGGUUUAAAGGGUCCGUAGGCGGUUUUGUAAGUCAGUGGUGAAAGCCCAUCGCUCAACGGUGGAACGGCCAUUGAUACUGCAAGACUUGAAUUAUUAGGAAGUAACUAGAAUAUGUAGUGUAGCGGUGAAAUGCCUAGAGAUUACAUGGAAUACCAAUUGCGAAGGCAGGUUACUACUAAUGGAUUGACGCUGAUGGACGAAAGCGUGGGUAGCGAACAGG
rnacentral:rRNA from 1 species